GACGAACGCUGGCGGCGUGCUUAACACAUGCAAGUCGAACGGAAAGGCCCUGCUUUUGUGGGGUGCUCGAGUGGCGAACGCGUGAGUAACACGUGAGUAACCUGCCCUUUACUUUGGUAUAACUUCAGGAAACUGGGGCUAAUACCGGAUAUGAUCUCCUGCUGCAUGGUGGGGUUUGGAAAGUUUCGGUGGUUGGGGAUGGACUCGCGGCUUAUCAGCUUGUUGGUUGGGUAGUGGCUUACCAAGGCUUUGACGGGUAGCCGACCUGAGAGGGUGACCGGCGACAUUGGGACUGAGAUACGGCACAGACUGCUACGGGAGGGAGCAGUGGGGAAUAUUGAACAAUGGGCGGAAGCCUGAUGGAGCAACGCCGCGUGCGGGAUGACGGCCUUCGGGGUGUAAACCGCUUUCGCCUGUGACGAAGAGUGAGUGACGGUAAUGAGUAAAGAAGCACCGGCUAACUACGUG
rnacentral:rRNA from 1 species